UCUUUCAUGGAAUCCAUUCACACUUUGACUUUCAUUCUUGAUUCAUUUUGUUGUUCUUUUACUGAUUCAAUUAAAUAAUCAUGAAAAACAUUAUGAACCCACUUAUGCUCUCAAAUCACAAGUGACAGUCAUAUACUCAGCUGUAUUUGAUGUAAAAGUACUGCAAAUGUAUGUGCGUACGCCUGUAUACAAGUACAGUGCCUUUUGUAAAGUAUUCAGAACCCUUUACUUUUUCCACAUUUUGUUACAUUACAGCCUUAAUCUACAAUGGAUUAAAAAAAAAAAUCCCCUCAUCAAUCUACGCACAAUACAUUUACAUCAUUUAGCAGACGCUCUUAUCCAGAGCGACUUACAGUAGUGAAUGCAUACAUUUCAUUUCAUGCAUUUUUUGUACUGGCCACCCAUGUCAGGUUGGAUGGAGAGCAUGGAUGUACAGCUUUGUCCGGGCUCUGGCUGGGCCACUCAAGGACAUUCAGAGACUUGUCCCGCUUGUCCCACUCCUGCUUUGUCUUGGCUGUGUGUGUAACCGAUGUGAAAUGGCUAGCUAGUUAGCGGUGGUGCGCGCUAAUAGCGUUUCAAUCGGUGACGUCACUCGCUCUGAGACCUGAAGUAGUUGCUCUGAGACCUGCAAGGGGCGUGGCUUUUGUGUUGCGAUGGGUAACAAUGCUUUGUGGGUGUCAAUUGUUGAUGUGUGCAGAGGGUCCCUGGUUCAAGCCCAGGUUGGGGCGAGGAGAGGUACGGAAUCUAUACUGUUACAUGUGCUUAGGGGUGUUGUCUUUUUGGAAGGUUAACCUUAGCCCCAGUCUGAGCGCUCUAGAGCAUGUUUUACCAAGGAUCUCGCUGUACUUUCCUCCGUUCAUCUUUGCCUCAAUCCUGACUAGUCUCCCAGUCCCUUCCGCUGAGAAACAUCCCAACAGGGAUGGUGCCUGGUUUCCUCCAGACGUGACACUUGGCAUUCAGGCCAAAGAGUUCUAUCUUGGUUUCAUCAGACCAGAGAAUCUUGUUUCUCAUGGUCUGAGAGUCCUUUAGGUGCCUUUUGGCAAACUCCAAGCGACCUGUCAUGUGCCUUUUACUGAGGAGUGGCUUCCGUGUGGCCACUUUACCAUAAAGGCCUGAUUGGUGGAGUGCUGCAGAGAUGGUUGUCCUUCUGGAACUCUAGAGCUCUGUCAGAGUGACCAUCAGGUUGUUGGUCACCUCCCUGAUCAAGGCCCUUCUCCCCCGAUUGCUCAGUUUGGAAAGGAGACUAGCUCUAGAAAGUCUAGGAGUCUUGGUGGUUCCAAACUUCUUCCAUUUAAGAAUGAUGGAGGUCACUAUGUUCUUGGGGACCUUCAAUGCUGCAGAAAUGUUUUGGUACUGUUCCCCAGAUCUGUGCCGUGACACAAUCCUGUCUAGGAGCUCUACGGACAAUUCCUUCGACCACAUGGCUUGGUUUUUGCUUUGACAUGCACUGUGAACUGUGGAACCUUAUAUAGACAGCUGUGUGCCUUUCCAAAUCAUGUCCAAUCAAUUGAAUUUACCACAGGUGGACUCCAAUCAAAUUGUAGAAACAUCUCAAGGAUGAUCAAUGGAAACAGGAUGCAUCUGAGAUCAAUUUCGAGUCUAAUAGCAAAUGGUCUGAAUACUUAUAUAAAUAAGGUAUUUCUAUAUAUUUUUUUUCAUUCUAAAACCAGUGUUUUGCUUUGUCAUUGUGGGGUAUUGUGUGUAGAUGCUGAGGAUUUUUUUUCUUCAAUCCAAUUUAAAAUAAGGCUGUUACACAAAAUGUGUAAAAUGUCAUUGGGUCUGAAUACUUUUCCAAAGGCACUGUAUGUGGAUGACAUUGCUGUAUGUGUGUGUGCAUGUACGUGUGCAUGCGUGUACGUGUACAUGCAUGCAAGUAUGUGGAUGACAUUGCUGUUUACAAACCCUGAAGAAAGUGAUUUCGCAUUAUUUUCAAUAAAAUUAUGCAAUUUGCAUUGUACAAUGA
rnacentral:lncRNA from 1 species